ensembl:lncRNA
GAAAUUAUACACAGUCAUAUUUCAAACUUAUAGUAUGGAAGCCCAUUUUAUCUUAGAAUAAAAUAAAAUAAUAAUUAUAGUUUAAAAUAAGAAAAAGCCACAUUGUGAUAUUCCUAUGAAGUUACACUGUGACUUACAAAGUCACAAUUUAGAAGAAAAGUGUUAGAGUACAAAGUCGUGAGAUAUUGAAAUCACCAUGAAUUUUUAAAACUGAUAUUAUUCUUUCAUGGAAUAUUGCGGUGUUAUUCCUGUCCUACAUUUUUCUUCUUUCAGAAGCCAUUUCACUCGGAUAUGACACAAAAAAAUUAUCACAAUUUCUAUUUCAUGCUGACUUUUCAUAUUGUUAGUGAGAAAAAGUCACAUUGCGAGAUAUGACGUUCCAUACAAAAUGUUCUGAGACCAUUGUAACUACAACUGAUGUCCAACUCAAUAAGCAUAUAAAAAACUUACAUCCUUGUGGUACUGUAGCUGUAAUCCAUAUUUUAGCAACAUGUUCUGCUAUUAAUAAACAGCACAGCAAAUCAACCCUUCAUGAUAAACCUGUAUGACUUUCCUUCUUCCAUGGGACACAAAAGAAGAAACUGAAAAAACUGUAUGGGUUGUUCUUUUCUAUGCUUCUGCAAUGAAUGGAGCCUGAGGUUUCACACUUCAAAAACAUACGCAAAAGCAUCAUAAAUGUAUCAUGGAGUGGUCUAUAGCAGGGGUUCCCAAACGUUUCCAUUCCACAACCCACCCAGACAAGUAUAAUCUAUUUCACGACCCACCAAAAUAUUUGAGAUAAAAAAGACAUUAUUUUAAGCCUAAUCUUAAUUAAAAGUUUGAUAUGACAGAAAUUAAGUAUUUAAGAAAAAUAACUAUUUUAUUUUAGGGUACAACUGUAAAAUUUCCCUAUAAUAUUUAACAACGCACGUUUUAAAUCGCAGACUUAAUUGCAAUUCGAAAAUCACACUAAGGAUAUCGCAAUUCGUAAUUAAUGUUGGUAGGCUUUAUCGUGCAGCCCUAGACUGCAUUGUGUGAGUGUGUUUAAACGCAAAUUUAGCUGCAGCCAAGUGACUGUGGGACCCACAUCCCUUUUGUAUCUCAGAACAAAGUUAUACAGAGGCU